rnacentral:rRNA from 1 species
UACAGAGGGUGCGAGCGUUAAUCGGAAUUACUGGGCGUAAAGCGCACGUAGGCGGACUUUUAAGUCGGAGGUGAAAUCCUGGAGCUCAACUCCAGAACUGCCUUCGAUACUGAGAGUCUUCGAGUUCGGGAGAGGUGAGUGGAACUGCGAGUGUAGAGGUGAAAUUCGUAGAUAUUCGCAAGAACACCAGUGGCGAAGGCGGCUCACUGGCCCGAUACUGACGCUGAGGUGCGAAAGCGUGGGGAGCAAACAGG